ensembl:misc_RNA
GGAUAGUGUCCCUAGGAGGCGGAUAGGAUUCAGCACUCUAGAAUUGUCUCACUAUUUGAAUAGGUGCUCAGCCCUUUGGAAUCUGUCAUCGGAAAGACCAUGGCUUUCUGGCUUUUCCUCUUUUUGGAUGGCUGCUUGUCACAAUAUUGUCUUCUUCGCUUUAGACAAA